AUGGUAACCGAGUUACGUUGGAAGGAGGGCUCUCCUGAGAGUGGUCGACAUCAUCUCUUAAAGAUUAUUGACUCGUAUGUCGCCGAUGAGACAGUAGGGCUAGUGAAGCCAGCUCAAGGGAUCACAUUGUACCUAUGUCCUUCUCAAGGGAAGGCAGCUCAGAUACUUGCUGACCACCUGCCAAAGGAACACUUGGGUAGUUUAACCGUGCUUGGAACAUCUAUCAUUGGAGUCGUCGUGUGGCGAACGUCCCAUGCCUCAUCUAUGGCGCAGAAUAUUAAUCCAGAACCACAUUCUACAGGUCAGCCCAUUGGUGCCCUUCUGCAAGAUGAUCGUAAUAGUAACAAAGUAGACAAAGUGAACUCAGCAAAUUUCCCCAAAACUAUGAACAUGGCUGCUGUAUCAGAACUCCAAAUUCAUUCUGAGGAUGUGCCAUCUCCACGAGGUUAUUGUGAAUCCAAGUUAGAAUCACCCAUAAACAAAUCAGCUUCAGUUCUGGAUCCAGUUGAAGAACCAAAGGGAGAUGUGUUAGCCAAAUCCUCCCCUCAAAUGGUGGAUGCUGAAGAAUCACGUACUGUUAAUGGCUUGACUCCUGAAUCUGCUAUGCAGUGUAGUAUAACUCCUGAUGCUGCAUUGACGCAUUACAGUAUAUGGGAGGCAACGAUUCAGCAUGAGUCUUCGCGCACAAAUAUUGUUCUUAUCUUUAAAAGCGGUGAAAAACCAUCUACACGUCAGUGGCACCGCUUUCUUAGGAUCGAGGGACGAGUGAGGCUUAGUGCUCUUAAAGAAUUUAUUAUAGAGCUUCCCAAAUCCAGGAGCCGUACUAUAAUGGUAACUGAGUUACGUUGGAAGGAGGGCUCUCUUGAGAGUGGUCGACAUCAUCUCUUAAAGACUAUUGACUCGUAUACCGCCAAUGAGACAGUAGGCCUAGUGAAGCCAGCUCAAGGGAUCACGUUGUACCUAUGUCCUCCUCAAGGGAAGGCAGGUCAGAUACUUGCUGAUCACCUGCCAAAGGAGCACUUGCAUAGUUUAACCAUGUCUAGAACAUCUAUCAUCGGAGUCGUCGUGUGGCAAAGGCCCCAUGUCUCAUCUAGGGUACCCAGCAGGCAAGAUUGCUCCAAGAGGCAGGCUACGAUUUCCAGCAGUUCACCCAUGAUUUCCAAGCCAUCAUCUCGCUCUUCCAAUGCUUCUCAUCACGAAGUUCUAGCCGCUGACAUUCCUCCGGGCGUUGGUUCUGGUGUUGUUAGGCACCAGGAUGGUCUAUCUGCUGAAUACAAUUUGGUUAGCGUCUCAAACUCAGCUGCCGAUGUGACAAGGACACAGUCCUACAGGAGCCAUCAGCAUCCAGUGCACACUUCUGACCCGAUAGAAGAAAUUAUUCGCAAGUAUGACAAGCCAUAUUCUGAAGGUAAUCUCCAGCAGGAGCGGAUUGUUCAACAACCACACCACCCUUAUCAACAGUAUCAUCAGCAGCUGCAGCACCAUUCCAUGCGUCAGUAUCACAUGGCACGGAAUUCACAAAGCCCACUGGCAUACACUCAGCACCAGCAUACUGCCAUGCCUGUGCGUGCACGACCCCUGAUUUACGGGCACCCCAUGCAGCCUGCUCAGCAAUCCAACUCUGGUGUGCCCGACGAUGGCAGUCAAACCCAUGUCACCCGGCCAUGGUAUCUACGGUAG
rnacentral:rRNA from 1 species